GAUGAACGCUGGCGGCGUGCCUAAUACAUGCAAGUCGAGCGAACGGACGAGAAGCUUGCUUCUCUGAUGUUAGCGGCGGACGGGUGAGUAACACGUGGAUAACCUACCUAUAAGACUGGGAUAACUUCGGGAAACCGGAGCUAAUACCGGAUAAUAUUUUGAACCGCAUGGUUCAAAAGUGAAAGACGGUCUUGCUGUCACUUAUAGAUGGAUCCGCGCUGCAUUAGCUAGUUGGUAAGGUAACGGCUUACCAAGGCAACGAUGCAUAGCCGACCUGAGAGGGUGAUGGGCCACACUGGAACUGAGACACGGUCCAGACUCCUACGGGAGGCAGCAGUAGGGAAUAUUCCGCAAUGGGCGAAAGACUGACGGAGCAACGCCGCGUGAGUGAUGAAGGUCUUCGGAUCGUAAAACUCUGUUAUUAGGGAAGAACAUAUGUGUAAGUAACUGUGCACAUCUUGACGGUACCUAAUCAGAAAGCCACGGCUAACUACGUG
rnacentral:rRNA from 1 species